rnacentral:rRNA from 1 species
GACGAACGCUGGCGGCGUGCUUAACACAUGCAAGUCGAACGCUGAAGCACCAGCUUGCUGGUGUGGAUGAGUGGCGAACGGGUGAGUAAUACGUGAGUAACCUGCCCUUGACUCUGGGAUAAGCCCGGGAAACUGGGUCUAAUACUGGAUGCUACAUGUCACCGCAUGGUGGUGUGUGGAAAGGGUUUACUGGUCUUGGAUGGGCUCACGGCCUAUCAGCUUGUUGGUGAGGGAAUGGCUCACCACGGCGACGACGGGUAGCCGGACUGAGAGAGUGACCGGCCACACUGGGACUGAGACACGGCCCAGACUCCUACGGGAGGCAGCAGUGGGGAAUAUUGCACAAUGGGCGAAAGCCGGAUGCAGCGACGCCGCGUGAGGGAAGACGGCCUUCGGGUUGUAAACCUCUUGCAGCAGGGAAGAAGCCACAAGUGACGGUACCUGCAGAAGAAGCGCCGGCUAACUACGUG